CCUACGGGUGGCAGCAGUAGGGAAUCCUCCACAAUGGGCGAAAGCCUGAUGGAGCAACGCCGCGUGGGUGAAGAAGGUCUUCGGAUCGUAAAACCCUGUUGUUAGAGAAGAAAGUGCGUGAGAGUAACUGUUCACGUUUCGACGGUAUCUAACCAGAAAGCCACGGCUAACUACGUUCCAGCAGCCGCGGUAAUACUUAGGUGGCAAGCGUUAUCCGGAUUUAUUGGGCGUAAAGGGAACGCAGGCGGUCUUUUAAGUCUGAUGGGAAAGCCUUCGGGUUAACCGGAGUAGUGCAUUGGAAACUGGGAGACUUGAGGGCAGAAGAGGAGAGUGGAACUCCAUGUGUAGCGGUGAAAUGCGUAGAUAUAUGGAAGAACACCAGUGGCGAAAGCGGCUCUCUGGUCUGUAACUGACGCUGAGGUUCGAAAGCGUGGGUAGCAAACAGGAUUAGAUACCCGAGUAGUC
rnacentral:rRNA from 1 species